CUGAUUGCCCUUUCAUCUCUUUCAAAAAUGUGCAAGGCCUGAAGCCGAAACCUCAGCUGCCGCCGUAGAUGAAUAUAUUCCAGUACUGACAAAUAAUUGGAAUCAACGAUUGGUGAUCAGUAUCCGGAAAGCUGAGGAUGGUGUGAACCGAUAUGCAUUGAGUCAGUAUCGGUGGGGCGGUCCGGUUCAUUUUCUGCAUUCCCUUUCCUGCUAUAAAUACCAAGCCAUCAAUGUGGCUACCUUGCAGAUCAGUUGUAGGACGAAGGAAGAAGAGGGGUCUUCCAUGAGGGCCAUAGCCAGCCUUUGGUAGCCAAGGAUGACUUGCCUACAUGGCCUUGUGAGUCCCGGUUGCAUAGCCGGUUCAGCUAGGUCUGUGGGCGGUCACCUUGGCUAGUCUGAGUGGCUUUUGCCUCUCAUGGGAGGCUUCUUCUUCUCUGUUAGUCAUGAUAUAUAUUUGCCUGGUGCUUCAUUAUAUUUGCUUUGUCAGAUCGUUCAGAAAUACAUGUGUUGGACACUUGGCCCUGCAAGUAUGACUGGAAUCACUUCUAACAUUUUAAUUUUUUUCUGUUGUUUUGCUUAAUGAGUGCUUCCUCCAAUUUUAAAUAUAUGACGUUUAGGAUAAACUAAUUAGUUCAUAACGGGGGUAAUACUUUUGUUGUUCUAGUGGUUGUAUGCAUACUCAGAUUAAAAUGUGCAUUUUCAUUUUAAAAUUUCCAACAAAGAUGCACAUACGUGUGGAUUUAAUUAGCUGCAAAGCAAUAGAAUCUCCAAGUCAUGUAAAUGAGCACUGAUCAGCCGGCUGUGGAGUAGACUGCAACGUGCAUUUGGACCUUAUUAGAAUUUGGAUCUCUACACGUGUGCCUCCUUUGUAUAUAGCAGAUAAAGCAGCUAAUUAUGACAGGGACUCAAGGAAAAUAGGUCAAUGCAUGCAAAUCUCUUUGGAAAAUAAACUCCAAAUUCGCUAGAGAAAUCCUAUAUUCUCUCCCAGUUUCGUUGUUCCUGAUCUCAAAUUGUGGCAGGCACUCAGCCAGACAACAUGGAUAAGGACGAAUCUGAUCCGCAUGCACGUACACAGUGUAGUACUAGCUAUGAGCACGACACACUUCUGAUGAAGAAAUGAAGAACAUCGCGCGCGCGCACACACACAAAUUACUUAUAAGUACAGCUAAUAAUUAAACUCAACAACGCAUACAGGAAUAACAUACACGUAAAGUCGAGCACCACAAAUUUACAUGCCUGCAGCUAUAUUUUUUUAACUUUAAAGGCAGGAGCGUGCCAGAUCAUAUAAGAAGGAAUAGAAAGCGGGUUUUUACAAUAUUUGUGAUUACAGGCUGUGAUGAAUGAAACUCACUGCACCGGCGACGAGCAUAGGACGACUGGCCACAAGGGCAGCUAUAGCCUAUAGGGUAUUUGGUUCGAUGAAUGGAGUGAUUCUGAUCCAUCACCAUUUUUGUUUCGUUCAGAGAAUUGAUUGAUGAAUACAAGUUGAUCAAUCAGCUCCCCAUGCCUUGUACAGACAUGACUAACUUAAACAUGAUGGGUAUAUAGAGUCACCCCAUCAAAAUUUUCAUGGGAGCAGCUUUAUACCUAGCUCGGAUGAGCCGAUUCCUCAAACCAUGAGUGGAAUAUAUAAGAGAAGGACAAUUCCUCAAA